rnacentral:rRNA from 1 species
UACAGAGGGCUCAAGCGUUGUUCGGAUUCAUUGGGCGUAAAGGGUGCGUAGGCGGCGCGGUAAGUCGGGUGUGAAAUCUCGGGGCUUAACUCCGAAACUGCAUUCGAUACUGCCGUGCUUGAGGACUGGAGAGGAGACUGGAAUUUACGGUGUAGCGGUGAAAUGCGUAGAUAUCGGGAGGAAUACCGAUGGCGAAGGCAGGUCUCUGGGCUGACACUGACGCUCAUGCACGAAAGCGUGGGGAGCAAACAGG